UGAAAUUUAAUAAAUUUUUAAGAAAGUAAAUAAAAAUAAAACUAGGAUUAGAUACCCUAUUAUUUUUUAGUUGUAUUAAAGUAGUAAAUUAUAAUAACAAAACUUAAUUUUUUUGGCGGUUUUCUAUAUAUUCACAGGAACUUGUAUAAUUAAAAAGAUAACCCACUUUUAAUUUUACCUUUUUUAUUUUUUUGUACGGUUGUUAGAUAAAAAUUUAUUUUUUUUUCUCAAAAAAUAAAAUAUUUUUAAUUCAGAUCAAUGUGAAGAUAAUAAAAAGGAUUAUAUGAGUUACAAAAAUUAGAAAAAUUAAUUUCAUAAAUUUUUAAAAAUGGAUGUGAAACGUAAAAAUUUAAUAAAAAUAAAUUUUGGAUUAUUCCUAGAAAAAGUACAUAUCGCCCGUCACUCUUAUAAAUUAGAUAAGUCGUAACAAAGUAGAAAUACUGGAAA
rnacentral:rRNA from 1 species